AUUGACCGCUGGCGGCAGGCCUAACACAUGCAAGUCGAGCGAGUGGCGGACGGGUGAGUAAUGUCUGGGGAUCUGCCCGAUAGAGGGGGAUAACUACUGGAAACGGUCGCUAAUACCGCAUACUAUCGGAUGAACCCAUAUGGGAUUAGCUAGUGGGUGGGGUAAAGGCUCACCUAGGCGACGAUCCCUAGCUGGUCUGAGAGGAUGAUCAGCCACACUGGGACUGAGACACGGCCCAGACUCCUACGGGAGGCAGCAGUGGGGAAUAGUGCACAAUGGGCGAAAGCCUGAUGCAGCCAUGCCGCGUGUAUGAAGAAGGCGUUAGGGUUGUAAAGUACUUGCAGCGGGGAGGCGUUACCCGCAGAAGAAGCACCGGCUAACUCCGUGCCAGCAGCCGCGGUAAUAC
rnacentral:rRNA from 1 species